rnacentral:rRNA from 1 species
UACAGAGGUCUCAAGCGUUUGUUCGGAUUCAUUGGGCGUAAAGGGUGCGUAGGCGGCGCGGUAAGUCGGGUGUGAAAUCUCGGAGCUUAACUCCGAAACUGCAUUCGAUACUGCCGUGCUUGAGGACUGGAGAGGAGACUGGAAUUUACGGUGUAGCGGUGAAAUGCGUAGAUAUCGUAAGGAAGACCAGUGGCGAAGGCGGGUCUCUGGACAGUUCCUGACGCUGAGGCACGAAAGCUAGGGGGAGCAAACAGG